AGGUCAAAUCAUCAUGCCCCUUAUGUCCUGGGCUACACACGUACUACAAUGGCUAAAACAGAGGGAAGCAAAGGAGCAAUUCGGAGCAAAUCCCCAAAAAUAGUCCCAGUUCGGAUUGCGGGCUGAAACCCGCCCGCAUGAAGUCGGAAUUGCUAGUAAUGGCAGGUCAGCAUACUGCCGUGAAUACGUUCCCGGGCCUU
rnacentral:rRNA from 1 species